rnacentral:rRNA from 1 species
AGAGUUUGAUCCUGGCUCAGAUUGAACGCUGGCGGCAGGCCUAACACAUGCAAGUCGAGCGGAUGAAGGGAGCUUGCUCCUGGAUUCAGCGGCGGACGGGUGAGUAAUGCCUAGGAAUCUGCCUGGUAGUGGGGGAUAACGUCCGGAAACGGGCGCUAAUACCGCAUACGUCCUGAGGGAGAAAGUGGGGGAUCUUCGGACCUCACGCUAUCAGAUGAGCCUAGGUCGGAUUAGCUAGUUGGUGGGGUAAAGGCCUACCAAGGCGACGAUCCGUAACUGGUCUGAGAGGAUGAUCAGUCACACUGGAACUGAGACACGGUCCAGACUCCUACGGGAGGCAGCAGUGGGGAAUAUUGGACAAUGGGCGAAAGCCUGAUCCAGCCAUGCCGCGUGUGUGAAGAAGGUCUUCGGAUUGUAAAGCACUUUAAGUUGGGAGGAAGGGCAGUAAGUUAAUACCUUGCUGUUUUGACGUUACCAACAGAAUAAGCACCGGCUAACUUCGUGCCAGCAGCCGCGGUAAUACGAAGGGUGCAAGCGUUAAUCGGAAUUACUGGGCGUAAAGCGCGCGUAGGUGGUUCAGCAAGUUGGAUGUGAAAUCCCCGGGCUCAACCUGGGAACUGCAUCCAAAACUACUGAGCUAGAGUACGGUAGAGGGUGGUGGAAUUUCCUGUGUAGCGGUGAAAUGCGUAGAUAUAGGAAGGAACACCAGUGGCGAAGGCGACCACCUGGACUGAUACUGACACUGAGGUGCGAAAGCGUGGGGAGCAAACAGGAUUAGAUACCCUGGUAGUCCACGCCGUAAACGAUGUCGACUAGCCGUUGGGAUCCUUGAGAUCUUAGUGGCGCAGCUAACGCGAUAAGUCGACCGCCUGGGGAGUACGGCCGCAAGGUUAAAACUCAAAUGAAUUGACGGGGGCCCGCACAAGCGGUGGAGCAUGUGGUUUAAUUCGAAGCAACGCGAAGAACCUUACCUGGCCUUGACAUGCUGAGAACUUUCCAGAGAUGGAUUGGUGCCUUCGGGAACUCAGACACAGGUGCUGCAUGGCUGUCGUCAGCUCGUGUCGUGAGACGUUGGGUUAAGUCCCGUAACGAGCGCAACCCUUGUCAUCAGUUGCUACGAAAGGGCACUCUGAUGAGACUGCCGGUGACAAACCGGAGGAAGGUGGGGAUGACGUCAAGUCCUCAUGGCCCUUAUAGGUGGGGCUACACACGUCAUACAAUGGCCGGUACAAAGGGCAGCCAACCCGCGAGGGGGAGCCAAUCCCACAAAGCCGGUCGUAGUCCGGAUUGCAGUCUGCAACUCGACUGCAUGAAGUCGGAAUCGCCAGUAAUCGUGGAUCAGCAUGCCACGGUGAAUACGUUCCCGGGUCUUGUACACACCGCCCGUCACACCAUGGGAGUGGGUUCUGCCAGAAGUAGGUAGCCUAACCGCGAGGAGGGCGCUUACCACGGCAGGGUUCAUGACUGGGGUGAAGUCGUAACAAGG